GACGGGGGAUGCAAGUGUUAUCCGGAAUCACUGGGCGUAAAGCGUCUGUAGGUGGUCCAAUAAGUCAACUGUUAAAUCUUGAAGCUCAACUUCAAAAUCGCAGUCGAAACUACUAGACUAGAGUAUAGUAGGGGUAAAGGGAAUUUCCUGUGGAGCGGUGAAAUGCGUAGAUAUUGGAAGGAACACCAAAGGCGAAGGCACUUUACUGGGCUAUUACUGACACUGAGAGACGAGAGCUAGGGGAGCAAAUGGG
rnacentral:rRNA from 1 species